GUUUAAUUAGGCUGGCGACCAUGUUAGUUAGAGUCUCUACUUGGGCGGCAAGUUGUUUGAUUGUUGGUGAGGAUUGUUCUUUGGCUAUCUUGUCGUUUGCUUCGAUCCCAGCACUUUGGGCUUGUGCACUCUUUUGGCGGGCGACUUGGCCUAACCUUCGCUGGUGUUCAUUUUCAUCACUGAUAAUCUUUGUGACCUCACUAAGAAUCUCUUCGUCAGUGACAUUGUUGUUUGAGGUGAGAGGUCUUAGUCUUUGUCGCAAGUCUGCGUACUUAGCCCCCAGGCCUUGAUAGAUUGUGUGGAGGAAAACUUCCUGGACAGUUCUUGGGUCAUAGGAGAUCUCAGUGUUGGCCUGCUUCGACUGAAAAAUAAGCUUCUGUUUAAGUCCAAUCAUGCGAUACAGAAACUGCUGGGGCGUCUCUUGUUCACUUUGUCUAGCACACAUUAACUCCUGGAGCAUUUCAGUUGUCGCUUUUUCUCCGAGAUGAGACCUCAGAAAGCCCUGAAGUUCAUGGAGAGACAGGUCAUCUUUGAGCAUUAACAUGUCCCGGAAAGUGCCAGGCUUCACAAUUCUCAACACACCUCGAACAAUUUCAGCCUCCACAAAUCCUUCUUUAACUCCUUCAUUAAUCUGCUUGGUGAGACUGUUGUAGCUGAUUUCGGAACUGUUGUCUCCAAUCUGUCCCCCAAAAACUUUGAAUUCUCUGCGUGGUAAGUACGAAAAGUCUCUUACAGUGACUGGCUGCUUAGGGCUAAUCUGUAUGAUUGGUUGUGGUUGCAAAUUGCUCUGCUGGCGUGCUACAGCAGGUGACUGGGCCCUUACAGUUCCACAUAGUCUUAGCCUCUCACCCAGUGUCUCAUACGCUUUCCUCAACUCCUCUAACUGUUGUGUUUCUGCGUUUGCAUAGGGGUUUGGUGAUAUAUCUGGUGGAUCUUCCGGCGGUUGUGGGUCUAGCACGGUAUUGGAUGGUUGUGGACUGGGCAUGGCAUGUACUUCAUUCUCACCAGCUGUUUGCACGGCAGGAUUACUUCCCUGGAUGACUAGAUUAAUCAAAUCAUUCAGCGUCAACAAAUGACUCAUGCCCUCAUCUUCAAGUUGCAGUAGUGUGUUUGACUGUAUGUAGGAGGUGAUAUAGUCCAUACAACCUUCUUUAUCAUCCUGACUGAGCUGUGUAGUGUCUUUGUUUUCUGAUGCGAGGCUCUUAGCGAGUUCGAAGAGGUCUUGACCUUGGAGUGAAAACAAGCGUCUCCUGAUAUUCCAGGCGAGUUCCUUUCUCUCGGUCGACAUGUUGUAUGUAUUUCUGAUUAUCCUUCAGCUCGAUAGUGACUAGGAUGCGUCACACUCCCCUCACUGAAGUACGGUUCCACGUUGAGGCAAAGGUCCCCUUUUCACCUCACUACCUGGACACCUACUCGCUGGCUUGGCUGGAGUAACGGCCUUGUCACGAUUGUGUCGUGGUUCUGGUAUCACUGGAUCUGCCCUCGACGACUGUAGAGGAGAGAUCCCGGACGAGCCCCCACAGUUUGUUACGGGUCCCAGAUGUGAAGACCACAAUAACAAAAAGAAUACAAAUCUGUAAAAAUAAAGGUAGAGUCUCAGAGAAAGAAUCACAGGAGCACUCGUGUCUUUUCCCGAAUUGCAUCUGAGAGGACAGGAAGUUGGUCCGCUCUAGGCAACCGCGGGCGAACGACUACAGUGUCAACAGUUCCGCUUAUUAUUUCUCACUUUUACUCUCCUCAAUUGUUAUGGACUACACGUAAUGAAUGUAAAAUAAUAAUUGUCUUAAUUGCUGACAUAUGUUUUUCUUAAAAAUAAUAAAAUUUCCCAAAAUGUGGUAGCACAUUUGUGUUCACCACA
ensembl:lncRNA